CAGGUCUUGAUGUCACAACAUCCUGUGUCCUCCCUCCCCUUUCAUAUCAUCAGCUGCCGAUGGUGCCGUGGGUAGAGAGAUACAUGAUCUCACAUGAGAAUAAAUAGAAGAAUCACACCGCUGACAGCCUUCCGUGGUUUGGUCUCAUUUGGGGCUUGCUUGAGGUAAAUGGGAUUAGGAUUGCAGCCACAGAUGGACAAGCAACAGAGGAAAGACAUCACCUUUGUCUCCUGUCUACAAUUGUCCCAGAAGCUGUGACUGAUGGAACUUUGAUCUGGCUUGAUGGAAUCUGGAUCUUAUUCAGCUCUUGUAUUGACUGCCCACAUAUUGGCCUAUAACUAAGCAGCACCUCUGCAAGAUGGCUCUUUAAAACAUGCAAAGAAACCUCUUGGAUGAUCUAGUGAUAGUCCAACAUAAUAUUUGUAAUAGCAACCAAUCAUAUGUCUUUUGGAAGCUUACAAGCCAUAAAGGCAGCAAUCUUCCCCUUGUUUGUCCCUAACAUACUGUAGUCUUAAAAUAUGCAUGGGGUGUCUAUUUAGAUCUAUUCAACAGCUAUGAGUCAAGAUAUCUAUUAUCCAUGCAUUUGUUUAAUGUUUUAAAACCAUGUAAACUAGUGGUCUUAUCAUCACAUCUUGUGACAUUACUUCAUCCUGGAGUAAUGAAUCUAAUCAGUUAAAUUCUGGAAAUAAAUGUUUUAUUUUGUCAGUC